rnacentral:rRNA from 1 species
AGGGAAUCUUCCACAAUGGGCGAAAGCCUGAUGGAGCAACGCCGCGUGAGUGAAGAAGGAUUUCGGUUCGUAAAACUCUGUUGUAAGGGAAGAACAAGUACAGUAGUAACUGGCUGUACCUUGACGGUACCUUAUUAGAAAGCCACGGCUAACUACGUGCCAGCAGCCGCGGUAAUACGUAGGUGGCAAGCGUUGUCCGGAAUUAUUGGGCGUAAAGCGCGCGCAGGUGGUUUCUUAAGUCUGAUGUGAAAGCCCACGGCUCAACCGUGGAGGGUCAUUGGAAACUGGGAGACUUGAGUGCAGCAGAGACUAGUGGAAUUCAAAGUGUAGCGGUGAAAGGCGUAGAGAUUAGGAAGAGCACCAGUGGCGAAGGCAACUCUCUGGGCGUUAACUGCCACUGAGGCACGAAAGCGUGGGGAGCAAACA